AGGAAAGCCUUGGGUCAUGAUGGCAUCAGCUUCCGACUCCUCAAGGAUUGUGCAGAGCAGCUCUGUCAGGUGGUCUGCUACAUCUUCAAUCUAAGCCUGAGACUGGAAAGAGUUCCUGCCAUCUGGAAGACCUCUUGUGUGGUCCUAAUCCCAAAGACCUUGUUCCCCAAGGAAGGUAACCACUUUAGGCUUGUGGCUUUAACCUCUCACAUGAUGAAGGCAUUCAAGAGGAUCAUCUUGAACUGUCUUUGCCCCCUGGAGAGCCCAAACAUGGAUCCUCUGCAGUUUGCGUACCAGCCUGGCAUUGGGAAAAUUGACGCUGUCAUCUACCUGCUGCAGAGAUCCCUGUCUCACUUGCACGAUACUGGAAACAACGUGAGGAUCACAUUCUUCGACUUCUCCACUACCUUGAUCACAAUCCAACCAUCAAUGCUCAGGGUGAAGCUAGAGAGAGUGGGGUUCAGUGACAAGCUGGCUCCAUGGACCAUGGACUACCUCACUGA